GGUGGCUCAGUGGUAGAGCGCUUGCUUUGCAUGCAUAAGGCCCUGGGUUCGAUUCCCCAGCACCA
rnacentral:tRNA from 1 species